rnacentral:rRNA from 1 species
GGGGAAUAUUGCACAAUGGGCGAAAGCCUGAUGCAGGACGCCGCGUGAGUGAUGAAGGCCUUCGGGUUGUAAAGCUCUGUCUUUGGGGACGAUAAUGACGGUACCCAAGGAGGAAGCCACGGCUAACUACGUGCCAAAGCCGCGGUAAUACGUAGGUGGCGAGCGUUGUCCGGAUUUACUGGGCGUAAAGGAUGCGUAGGCGGAUGUUUAAGUCAGAUGUGAAAAUCCCGAGCUUAACUUGGGAACUGCAUUUGAAAC